rnacentral:lncRNA from 1 species
CAUAUAUUUUUGGGCUUAUCCCUCUAAAAAUCUGGGAUUUUAGAUAACAUCUUAACAGUGACAAAUAUUAUAUUGAUUUUGAUAGUUAAUAUAGAAGGAGAGACAAGUUUCCAUGAUCUAUAGUCAAGUUUAUAGACUUGAAGAAAGAAACAUAUAUAACCAAUUAAUGUAGAAAGAAAAAUAUUAUAUAUGAGCAAAGGGUGCUCAUUAUAAAUUUCUUUAGAAGC